rnacentral:rRNA from 1 species
GCGCAGCAGUCGCGAAACCUCCGCAGUGCUCGAAAGAGCGACGGGGGGACUCCAAGUGCCUACGCUCAGCGUAGGCUGUUCCCGAGCCUAAAAAGCUCGGGGAGUAAGGGCUGGGUAAGACGGGUGCCAGCCGCCGCGGUAAUACCCGCAGCCCGAGUGGUGGCCGCUAUUAUUGGGCCUAAAGCGUCCGUAGCCGGCUCGGUAAAUGCCUGGGCAAAUCGUCUGGCCCAACCAGACGAAUUCCGGGUAGACUGCCGGGCUAGGGACCGGAGGAGGGAGAGGGUACUCCAGGGGUAGGGGUGAAAUCAGCAAGGUGAGUUGCUGAUGUAACUUGCCUUGCAAGUCACAAUCCCUGUAAUCCCUGGAGGACCACCGGUGGCGAAGGCGCUCUCCUAGGACGGGUCCGACGGUGAGGGACGAAAGCCAGGGGAGCAAACCGGAUUAGAUACCCC